ncrna:unclassified sequences c-di-GMP-II-GAG riboswitch
CGCAACAGGGGACGCAUCGAUCCUCGAGCCGCACACAGCGGUCGCCGGGUCAGCCCGACAGGGCUGACGGGCUCGAGGGGAGCGAGUGGCGAGACCGACCCCGAGGACC